CAAAGUCAUUCGACUCCCGAAUCAGUCUACUUUGAAUCAGCCUACCUGAUCGCGCAUUAAAACACUACUGGUCAUUUAUCAUCAUCGCUGUAUAUGCAUCAGAAGUGAUAUCGUUUGAUAUAACGUUAAUAAUUUUUUAUUUGUUAACAAUCUUUGUUGCCAUCAUGGAUUAUGGCUUGUUUUCUUUAAUUUAUGGCUCGAGACUGAAGUAAACACGACAACGUCACCAAUGCUGAAACGAAACAGCACAUGAAAGUUUCUGACAGUUCAACGCUCAUGAAUAUUUAAUGAGGCUGGUCCUCACUCAUAACAGAGGCAGUAAAAGUGUCUGAGAGAGAAAUAUAUGACCCUCCUUCUGUUUUCCUGUGUGUUGAAGAAUAAGAGUGGACCCCACUGAUAUUUCACCCCCACCUGUCCUGCCGUUAAGAACAAUGCGGGAGCUCCUUUAUGUGUGAAUGACUCCGUCCCCACAUUCACUAUCUCUCAUAACCUGCAGGACAAACAAAGAGCCAAGCACUUCCUAUUGCUUGCUUCAGUGAAGGUGGGGUGUGAAGAAAUUUCUCCAAGGAGGAAGGUGCUCCUCAAAAAAGCUGAAUGAGAAAGUAUU
ensembl:lncRNA